GUGAUCAUACUAGCACUAAUGCAUCGGAUCCCAUCAGAACUCCACAGUUAACCAUACUUGGGCGAGAGUACUAGCGAGAGUAGUACUACGAUGGGUGACCCCCUGGGAAGUCCUCGUGUUGCACCCC